UCGAGAAUUUUUCUCAAUGGGGGAAACCCUGAAGGAGCGACGCCGCGUGGAGGAUGAAGGCUUUCGGGUUGUAAACUCCUGUCAUUUGGGAACAAGGCUAUUCGGUUAACUGCCGAGUAGUUGAUAGUACCAGAAGAGGAAGAGACGGCUAACUCUGUGCCAGCAGCCGCGGUAAUACAGAGGUCUCAAGCGUUGUUCGGAUUCAUUGGGCGUAAAGGGUGCGUAGGUGGCGCGGUAAGUCGGGUGUGAAAUCUCGGAGCUUAACUCCGAAAUUGCAUUCGAUACUGCCGUGCUUGAGGACUGGAGAGGAGACUGGAAUUCAUGGUGUAGCAGUGAAAUGCGUAGAGAUCAUGAGGAAGACCAGUGGCGAAGGCGGGUCUCUGGACAGUUCCUGACACUGAGGCACGAAGGCCAGGGGAGCAAACGG
rnacentral:rRNA from 1 species